rnacentral:rRNA from 1 species
GUGCCAGCCGCCGCGGUACUACCGGCAGCCCGAGUGAUGGCCGAUCUUAUUGGGCCUAAAGCGUCCGUAGCUGGCUGGGCAAGUCCGUCGGGAAAUCCGCGCGCUCAACGCGCGGGCGUCCGGCGGAAACUGCUCGGCUUGGGACCGGAAGACCCGAGGGGUACGUCCGGGGUAGGAGUGAAAUCCUGUAAUCCUGGACGGACCGCCGGUGGCGAAAGCGCCUCGGGAAGACGGAACCGACAGUGAGGGACGAAAGCUGGGAUCUCGAACCGGAUUAGAUACCCCAGUAGUCC